rfam:Xenopus tropicalis strain Nigerian scaffold_8441_contig_4, whole genome shotgun sequence.
GCGCUAGUAGUGUAGGGGUAUCAUGCAAAAUUCCCAUUCUUGCGACCCGGGUUCCGAGUCCCGGCUAGUGCA